rnacentral:rRNA from 1 species
GGGGGGGGGGGGGGGGGGGCGGGGGACGGGGAGGUGGGGGGGGGGGGCGGGGGGCGUGCGCCGCUGGGGUUGGCGGCGGGCGGGUGGGUAACGCGUGGGUAACCUACCUAUGCGACUGGGAUGACUUCGGGGAACCGGGGCUAAUACCGGAUAAUAUAUUGCACCGCCUGGUUCAAUAGUGAAAGAGUGUUUUGCUGGCCCUUAUCGAUGUCUCCGCGCCGCCUUAGCUAGUUGGUAAGGUAACGGCAUACCAAGGCAACGAUGCGUAGCCGACCUGAGAGGGUGAUCGGCCACACUGGAACUGAGACACGGUCCAGACUCCUACGGGAGGCAGCAGUAGGGAAUCUUCCGCAAUGGGCGAAAGCCUGACGGAGCAACGCCGCGUGAGUGAUGAAGGUCUUCGGAUCGUAAAACUCUGUUAUUAGGGAAGAACAAAUGUGUAAGUAACUAUGCACGUCUUGACGGUACCUAAUCAGAAAGCCACGGCUAACUACGUG